ensembl:rRNA 5S_rRNA 5S ribosomal RNA
GCCACAGCCAUAUCACCCUGCAGCCCAAGACUGGUUGCCCACUGAAGCUAAGCAGGGUUGAGCCUGGUCAGUACCUGGAUGGGAGACCUCCUGGGAAAACUAGGUUGCUGCUGGAA